UCGCAAAGCAGCUUUGAGGUCUUCACAGC
rnacentral:sRNA from 1 species